rnacentral:rRNA from 1 species
CUUUUAUGAAGAGUUUGAUCCUGGCUCAGGACGAACGCUGGCGGCGUGCCUAAUACAUGCAAGUCGAGCGCGGGAAGCCUCUUCGGAGGUGGAACGAGCG